UUUUUGCGUGAGGGAUUGAAGUGGAGCUUUUUUUUUAUGAUGCGAUUUUUAUCGCUUUAUAAAAAAAAGCGGGAACGUAAAGCCCAGUUCGCC
rnacentral:sRNA from 1 species